rnacentral:lncRNA from 8 species
AGGGUGUUACAUGGCUGGGCGUUCUAUGUUUAUUUUUCUAUGUUGGUUUUUUUCUUUGGUUGGCCGUGUGUGGCUCCCAAUCAGGAACAGCUGUAGUUCGUUGUUGCUGAUUGGGAGUCAUACAUAGGCAGCCUGUUUUUCCUUUGGGGUUUGUGGGUGAUUGUUUUCCGUAUCGCUUAUGUGCCUUAUGGAACUGUUUGGUUGUUCUUUUAUGUUGCUUGUCGUAUUUUAGUGUUCAGUUUUCUCAUUAAAAUGACGGACACUUACCACGCUGCAUUUUGGUCUGAUUUCUCUUCCCCUUCAUCUGAGGACGACGAAGACAGCCAUUACAUAAUCACCCACCAGAAAAGGACCAAGCAGCGGAGGAAGGAGCAGCACCAGGAGAAGAGCAGUAUGGACUCGUGGAGAUGGGAGAAAUUACUGGACGGUAAAGGACCAUGGGCUCAAGCUGGGGAGUAUCGCCGCCCGCAGUGGGAGAUCGAGGCAGCGAUAGCUGAGAGGCGCUGGUAUGAGGCAAGGGAGCGCAACAGGCACAAGAGGCACACGGGGAGUGUGGCAGAGUCAGGUUGGAGACCUGAGCCAACUCCUCGUGCUUACAGGAGGCAGCGCAGUACUGGUCAGGCACCGUGUUAUGCGAUAAAGCGCACGGUGUCCCCAGUACGCGUUGAUAGCCCGGAGCGCUACAUGCCAGCCCUCCGCAAGUGCCAUGCGAGAGUGGGCAUCGAGCAAGGUCGGAGUGUUCCAGCUCAGUGCAUCUGGUCUCCGGUGCGCUGUCUCGGUCCAGGCUAUCCUGCACCGGCGCUGCGCACUGUGUCUCCGGGGUGCUGGGAGGGCUCAGUUCGGCCUAUGCCUGCGCUCUGCCCGUGCCGGGCAAAGGUGGGCAUUCAGCCUGGAGUUUGGGUGGCAAGCCUACGCACCAGAACUCCAGUGCUCCCCCACAGCCCGGUUUAUCCUGUGCCUCCUCCUCGGACCAGGCCUCCUGUGGGUCUCCCCAGCCUGGUGAGUCCUGUGCCUGCGCCCAGAGCCAGGCCUCCUGCAUGUCUCCCCAGCCUGGUGAAUCCUGGGCCAGAGCCGCCAGAGCCGCCCGCCUGUCCGGAGCUGCCAGAGCCGCCCACCUGUCUGGAGCCGCCGGAACCGCCCGCCAGCAGGGAGCAGCCGGAGUCGCCCGCCAGCCGGGCGCAGCCGGAGACGCCCGCCGGCCCGCCAGCCGGGCGCAGCCGGGGUCGCCCGCCAGUCCUCCGGCGCAGCUAGGGGCGCCACCUAAGUGGGCUAAGCCAAGGGUGGAGAGGGGUCCACGUCCCCACCAGAGCCGCCGCCGUAGGAGGGCCCACCCAGACCCUCC